AAAGGAGAGCGGAAAAGCAGCAAGUGGGGUUAGGAUCCCCCCUCGCAUCCCACACAGGCAGCUGAGAAAUAUACUGAGAUUUUUUUUUUUACUGUUGCUGGAGCCGGCAUCUAACCCCUUCACCUGUCCCUCCUCCCCUGCUCACUGGCCCCCCUGCAAAGAGGCAGAUGGGAGCUUUAAUGAGCCCUCUGCGGUACCGUGUCUCUGGAGAUAUUUAACUCUGCCGGCAUGCAACAAACCACAGAUACAAAUCGAGUAUUAAAGAGUUGGCCUUACCUGGUACGCCGCUGACACCAGAGUUCAUUACAAUGGAAAGCAUUUAAACAAGCAAAUGCAGCUGGGCAUUAUCUGCUGUUUGGUUCUGCAUUUCAAUCAGCUCAGAAGAUGCAACUAGACAGUCUCAGCUGGAUACAAGAUUCAUCUUCGCUUGCUGACUUUUAGUAGUUGUUACUGUGCAUUGCUCAAGAACUGCCACGUUCCGCCCCAGAGGCGGUUGCUCUUCAGCUGAGGAUUCAUUCAUUUGCUGCUUGGUGUCUUUGAUGGAA